rnacentral:rRNA from 1 species
UACGAAGGGGGCUAGCGUUGUUCGGAAUUACUGGGCGUAAAGGGCGCGUAGGCGGUUGCUCAAGUCAGGCGUGAAAGCCCCGGGCUCAACCUGGGAAUAGCGCUUGAGACUGGGCGGCUUGAGUUCGGGAGAGGUGAGUGGAAUUCCGAGUGUAGAGGUGAAAUUCGUAGAUAUUCGGAAGAACACCAGUGGCGAAGGCGGCUCACUGGCCCGUUACCGACGCUCAGGCGCGACAGCGUGGGGAGCAAACAGG